rnacentral:rRNA from 1 species
CCUACGGGUGGCAGCAGUCGAGAAUCAUUCACAAUGGGGGAAACCCUGAUGGUGCGACGCCGCGUGGGGGAAUGAAGGUCUUCGGAUUGAAAACCCCUGUCAUGUGGGAGCAAAUUAAAAAGAUAGUACCACAAGAGGAAGAGACGGCUAACUCUGGGCCAGCAGCCGCGGUAAUACAGAGGUCUCAAGCGUUGUGCGGAAUCACUGGGCGUAACGCGUGCGUAGGCUGUUUCGUAAGUCGUGUGUGAAAGGCGCCGGCUCAACCCGCGGACGGCACAUGAUACUGCUAGACUAGAGUAAUGGAGGGGGAACCGGAAUUCUCGGUGUAGCAGUGAAAUGCGUAGAUAUCGAGAGGAACACUCGUGGCGAAGGCGGGUUCCUGGACAUUAACUGACGCUGAGGCACGAAGGCCAGGGGAGCGAAAGGGAUUAGAUACCCUUGUAGUC